AACAGCUCCUUACUCCGGCGACGUUUCGUUGGUGCUCAAUGCGGUUUCUAUGUUGGGGACGCCGCUCAACGCGCCUCCGCCCAUGCGGUUGCGGCCGGUCCAGGCGACGCCACCGGCAGAGUGAGACCGCCAGCCCCGCCUAUCCACGCGACGUUGCCGCUCCCCGCCGCCUCCCCACUCGACGCUGCCGCUCCCGACGCGCCUUCGCCCACGUGGUUGCGGCCGCCCCACAGGACACCACUGGCACGACGAGACCGCCGCCCCCCGCCGCCAGCCUCGCCUAUCAACGUGACGCUGCCACUCCCCACGCGCGGCUCUCUAGCGCCGGCUGUGUCCCACUACGGGGAAGAUGCACCCGACGCGGGAUCUGGAUGCGCUGGCUGCCGAGGUCGACCCUCAGCCACAAGCGCCUCGACGAGGACACUGAAAUCUCUCCUGUAACAUAGGCAAAAAUUCAAGUAUCAAAGGAACCUAUGGCUUUUGGUAUUCUGUUAGGAAAAUUCUCUUUUGUAAGAAGGCCAAAUCUUUUCCCAGGAUUUUGUGACCAUGGAUAGUACUGGAUAUUGAAGUAAAGGACAACUUACCGCUUCCGGCCACCCCACACACCGCAGAUUGCCCCGACAACUCAUCCCCACGCAAGAGCCGCCCUCGGCCGCAAGCGGAACAUCCCUCAAUACCAAGCGACUCGACGAGGACACGGAGGUCCUUUCAUGGGCGCAAAUGGCGAUAUGUGGAAUGCAUUCUUGCCAAGCUAAGUUGUUAUCUACAUCAAUGAAAAGUUCUUUGCGACGGUGCACAAGCGACACUGCUGCAGCGCUGCAUCCUCCUGUUGGACAAGCGACGUGGAGAGCUACUUCGAAUUGCAUGGAGAUGAACAAAAGGGACCAGUGAGAAAAGAUGAAGACAAGUGUUUCAGUUCAGCGAAAAAAGAUCAUAUAUGCUGGCUCGUUUUUCUUGUUCUCAUUUUGGCUCUGUAAACAAAGCUGGAUAUGUAUUAGGAUGUACCUGGUGGUGAGAGAACUUCUGCUUUCCUUCAUGUUGGCUGUAGGAGGUAGUUAGGCCUUUCUCUGAUGUGUGGUCGUCUGAACUGGAUGUACUGGCCGUUUUCUGCUUCAUUAUAUAAAAUGGGGCAGGGGGGAAACCCCUUUCUUUUUUUUAAAAAAGGGGAAAAUACA